GGAAUAUUGGUCAAUGGGCGCGAGCCUGAACCAGCCAAGUAGCGUGCAGGAUGACGGCCCUACGGGUUGUAAACUGCUUUUGUACGGGAAUAAAGUGUGGGACGUGUCCCAUUUUGUAUGUACCGUAAGAAUAAGGACCGGCUAAUUCCGUGCCAGCAGCCGCGGUAAUACGGAAGGUCCGGGCGUUAUCCGGAUUUAUUGGGUUUAAAGGGAGCGCAGGCUGGCCUUUAAGCGUGACGUGAAAUGUCCCGGCUCAACCGGGGAGUUGCGUCGCGAACUGGUGGUCUUGAGUGAGUGCGAGGUACGCGGAAUUCGUGGUGUAGCGGUGAAAUGCUUAGAUAUCACGAAGAACCCCGAUUGCGAAGGCAGCGUACCAGUCCUUAACUGACGCUAAAGCUCGAAGGUGCGGGUAUCGAACA
rnacentral:rRNA from 1 species